rnacentral:miRNA from 1 species
UGGAAUUCUAAGAAGCGAAACAAGAUAAU